CACGGGAAAACUUACCAGGUCCAGACAUAGUGAGGAUUGACAGAUUGAGAGCUCUUUUCUUGAUCCUAUGGGUGGUGGUGCAUGGCCGUUCUUAGUUGGUGGAGUGAUUUGUCUGGUUAAUUCCGUUAACGAACGAGACCACUGCCUGCUAAAUAGCCCAGUGAGUGAAUUUUCACUGACUGCUGGCUUCUUAGAGGGACGUGCAUUCUUUUAGAUGCAGGAGGAUAGUGGCUAUAACAGGUCUGUGAUGCCCUUAGAUGUCCUGGGCCGCACGCGCGCUACACUGAUGCAUUCAACGAGUUUACCUUGGCCGAGAGGCCUGGGCAAUCUUUUAAACGUGCAUCGUGAUAGGGAUAGAUUAUUGCAAUUGUUAAUCUUGAACGAGGAAUUCCUAGUAAACGCAAAUCACCAAUUUGCAUUGAUUACGUCCCUGCCCUUUGUACACACCGCCCGUCGCACCUACCGAUUGAAUGGUCCGGUGAGGCCUCGGGAUUGUGACC
rnacentral:rRNA from 1 species